rnacentral:rRNA from 1 species
CUACGGGAGGCAGCAGUGGGGAAUAUUGGGCAAUGGGCGCAAGCCUGACCCAGCAACGCCGCGUGAAGGAAGAAGGCUUUCGGGUUGUAAACUUCUUUUGGCAGGGACGAAGAAAGUGACGGUACCUGCAGAAUAAGCUCCGGCUAACUACGUGCCAGCAGCCGCGGUAAUACGUAGGGAGCGAGCGUUAUCCGGAUUUACUGGGUGUAAAGGGCGCGUAGGCGGGAAUGCAAGUCAGAUGUGAAAUCUCCGGGCUCAACCCGGAAACUGCAUUUGAAACUGUAUUUCUUGAGUGAUGGAGAGGCAAGCGGAAUUCCUAGUGUAGCGGUGAAAUGCGUAGAUAUUAGGAGGAACACCAGUGGCGAAGGCGGCUUGCUGGACAUUAACUGACGCUGAGGCGCGAAAGCGUGGGGAGCAAACAGGAUUAGAAACCCCUGUAGUCC